GGGGCACUAGGUACUGACCACUGUCG
rnacentral:misc_RNA from 1 species